UACGAAGGGUGCUAGCGUUGUUCGGAAUUACUGGGCGUAAAGCGCGCGUAGGCGGCUAUUCAAGUCAGAGGUGAAAUCCCUGGGCUCAACCCAGGAAUUGCCUUUGAAACUGUAUAGCUUGAGUGUCGGAGGGGAUAGCGGAAUUGCUAAUGUAGAGGUGAAAUUCGUAGAUAUUAGCAGGAACACCGGUGGCGAAGGCGGCUAUCUGGACGACAACUGACGCUGAGGCGCGAAAGCGUGGGGAUCAAACAGG
rnacentral:rRNA from 1 species